GGAAUUUUGGACAAUGGACGCAAGUCUGAUCCAGCCAUUCCGCGUGCAGGAUGAAGGCCCUCGGGUUGUAAACUGCUUUUGUACGGAACGAAAAGGUUUCUAUUAAUACUAGGAGCUCAUGACGGUACCGUAAGAAUAAGCACCGGCUAACUACGUGCCAGCAGCCGCGGUAAUACGUAGGGUGCAAGCGUUAAUCGGAAUUACUGGGCGUAAAGCGUGCGCAGGCGGUUAUGUAAGACAGAGGUGAAAUCCCCGGGCUCAACCUGGGAACCGCCUUUGUGACUGCAUAGCUAGAGUACGGUAGAGGGGGAUGGAAUUCCGCGUGUAGCAGUGAAAUGCGUAGAUAUGCGGAGGAACACCGAUGGCGAAGGCAAUCCCCUGGACCUGUACUGACGCUCAUGCACGAAAGCGUGGGGAGCAAACAGGAUUAGAUACCCUGGUAGUCCACGCCCUAAACGAUGUCAACUGGUUGUUGGGUCUUAACUGACUCAGUAACGAAGCUAACGCGUGAAGUUGACCGCCUGGGGAGUACGGCCGCAAGGUUGAAACUCAAAUGAAUUGACGG
rnacentral:rRNA from 1 species